GACGAACGCUGGCGGCGUGCUUAACACAUGCAAGUCGAACGGAAAGGCCCUGCUCUUGUGGGGUGCUCGAGUGGCGAACGGGUGAGUAACACGUGAGUAACCUGCCCUUGACUUUGGGAUAACUUCAGGAAACUGGGGCUAAUACCGGAUAGGAGCUCCUGCUGCAUGGUGGGGGUUGGAAAGUUUCGGCGGUUGGGGAUGGACUCGCGGCUUAUCAGCUUGUUGGUGGGGUAGUGGCUUACCAAGGCUUUGACGGGUAGCCGGCCUGAGAGGGUGACCGGCCACAUUGGGACUAAGAUACGGCCCAGACUCCUACGGGAGGCAGCAGUGGGGAGUAUUACACAAUGGGCGGAAGCCUGAUACGGAGGCGCCGCGUGCGGGAUGACGGCCUUCGGGUUGUAAACCGCUUUCGCCUGUGACGAAGCGUGAGUGACGGUAAUGGAUAAAGAAGCACCGGCUAACUACGUG
rnacentral:rRNA from 1 species